CUACGGGUCGCAGCAGCCGAGAAUAUUCGACAAUGGACGAAAGUCUGAUCGAGCGACGCCGCGUGUACGAUGAAGUAUUUCGGUAUGUAAAGUACUUUUAUGUGGGAAGAACGUUGACGGUACCACAUGAAUAAGGGGUUGCUAACUCUGUGCCAGCAGCAGCGGUAAUACAGAGACCCCAAGCGUUAUCCGGAAUUAUUGGGCGUAAAGGGUGAGUAGGUGGUAGUAUUAGUCGGGUUUUAAAGUUCUGGGGCUUAACCUCAGAAAUGGACUCGAAACGGUACAACUAGAAUUGUGCAGAGGUAUGUGGAACUAUAUGUGUAGGGGUAAAAUCCGUUGAUAUAUAUGGGAACACCUAAAGCGAAGGCAGCAUACUGGGCACACAUUGACACUGAAUCACGAAAGCGUGGGUAGCGAUACGGAUUAGAUACCCUUGUAGUC
rnacentral:rRNA from 1 species